rnacentral:rRNA from 1 species
UACAGAGGGGGCAAGCGUUAUUCGGAAUUAUUGGGCGUAAAGGGCGCGUAGGCGGCCAGGCAAGUGGAAGGUGAAAUCCCUCGGCUUAACCGAGGAACUGCCCUCCAAACUGCUUGGCUUGAGACCGGGAGAGGUGAGUGGAAUUCCCAGUGUAGCGGUGAAAUGCGUAGAUAUUGGGAGGAACACCAGUGGCGAAGGCGGCCCACUGGACCGGUACUGACGCUGAUGCGCGAAAGCGUGGGGAGCAAACGGG